rnacentral:rRNA from 1 species
AUUGAACGCUGGCGGCAGGCCUAACACAUGCAAGUCGAGCGGAUGAAGGGAGCUUGCUCCUGGAUUCAGCGGCGGACGGGUGAGUAAUGCCUAGGAAUCUGCCUGGUAGUGGGGGAUAACGUCCGGAAACGGGCGCUAAUACCGCAUACGUCCUGAGGGAGAAAGUGGGGGAUCUUCGGACCUCACGCUAUCAGAUGAGCCUAGGUCGGAUUAGCUAGUUGGUGGGGUAAAGGCCUACCAAGGCGACGAUCCGUAACUGGUCUGAGAGGAUGAUCAGUCACACUGGAACUGAGACACGGUCCAGACUCCUACGGGAGGCAGCAGUCGGGAAUAUUGGACAAUGGGCGAAAGCCUGAUCCAGCCAUGCCGCGUGUGUGAAGAAGGUCUUCGGAUUGUAAAGCACUUUAAGUUGGGAGGAAGGGCAGUAAGUUAAUACCUAGCUGUUUUGACGUUACCAACAGAAUAAGCACCGGCUAACUUCGUG